rnacentral:lncRNA from 1 species
CCAAGGAAUGCAGGAGGUGUCGGUGUCGCAAUCCAAUGUACACAUCAGGAUAGAUGCGGAGAGGGCUGAUGGCCACUCUGAGUUUAUUAUAACCAGCGUUUCAAUAUAUACAUAGCCUACAGCUGGUAAACAUACACAGGUGUUCUGGAAGAAGUAAUUAGCGAAUGCCAAGAAUUCUUAGUGAUUUCUCAAGGAGCCCUCCCUUGGCCUCUGUUUUGAUAUUAUCAUGUUGUUGCUGUGCUCCUAUAUUUUUAUCUCAGAGCAGGCAAGGUCUCUUAGGCAAUGGUCCCUCUUGCUCCCAAUAUCGAUAUCGUUUCUCCAUCUGUGUCCCCCGGGCGGCCGCCUCCUGGCUUAGGUUGCCCCCCCAGGGGGUCUUACCAGUCAUUGGCUAACCGGCCUUCUCACCUCUGGGGCACAGUUUGUUGGCAAGCUUUUUCCAGUGAUUAUUAACCCUUCCUAUGUCAGGGGCGGCUCCAGGAGGCUCCAGGACUGAGAAAGAAGGUCUGUCAGACGUCAGGAAGGUGCCUUUAUGGCCCAGCUCGUCAGCUACCACAAGCGCUGGAGAAGAAGGAGGCGUUCUGGAGGAUUUGCGUGGGCCUCUUGGCAGGCUGCAAGCGGCUGCACCAGUUUGCCCAUCUGAUUUACACCUCGGCACCAACAUCAGGUUCCAAAAAUUUCCAUGGGGCGAGCAAGAGAACCUGCCAGCCACCCAAGACAUGGCCCUGCAGACAGGCCUGGAUGCAGCGUCCCCGGCAGACGGUGGACCGUGCUGCAGGACACGGAUGCUUCCAUUCGCUCACCACGAAGAGAGGCGAGCGGCUUCCAGACCUGCGCGCCCAUCAGGCACAGCUCGAAUGAAGCCAGGUCAGGACAGGAGCUGACAGCGGCCACCUCCCAUCCUCCCAUCUCCCACCCGCUCAGAGGCGUCCCUGUACCUAGUUUCUCCAAAUGGCAACAACUCUAGAACAACUGUGAUAUUGACAUUGAUACUGUCCACCAAUCUGAUUCAGUUUCUCCUGUUUACUUGCGCUUACUUGUGUACGUGUGUGUGUUUAACUCUAAGCAAUUUAUUUCAGAUGUGUAGGUUUCUGUAUCCACCAUCACAAUCAAAAUAUGAAACUGUUACAUCACCAUAAGAAUCCUCUUUAUUGCCUAUUUAUAGGAGACUUCCUUCCCCAAUGUGUGUGAACACAUGUGUGUGAACAUAAGUUUUAAUUUCUCUAGGAUAAGUGCUCAAGUGUACAAUUAAUGAGUUGUGUGGCAAUUGCAUGUUUAGUUUUAUAAGAAACUGCCAAACUAUUUUCCAGAGUAACUGUACCAUUUCACGUUCCCACCAGCAAAGUAUGAGUGAUCCAGUUUCUCCUCAUCCUUGCCGGCAUUUGAUGGUGUUGUUUUUUCACCUUUAGUCAUUCUGACAGGCAUGUAGUGAUGUAUCAUUGUGAUUUUAAUUUGCAUUUCCCUAAUGCCUAAUGCUGAGCAUAUUUUCAUGUGCUUACUUGACAUCUGUAUAAUCUUUGGUGAAAUAUCUGUUCAUCUCUUUUGCUCACAAAAUGCAAAAAUCUUUUCACUAGUAAAUUCAUAGAUAUAUCAGCGGAGAUUUGCUAGGAUACAGGUGCAAGAAAGUUCAUUGUAACAAUAUUUUAGGAAUAAAACAGCAACAGCCACAAAGCCCACCCUGGAAACAGUGUAAAGAACGUUAGUAGGGAUUGACCCAAUUAUCACUGCUCUGUGGUAUGAUCAAACAGUGGGGCCAAAUAAUGGGACAAAGGUAAAAGUCUGGAGUCCCUUAAAGAAGGAAAGGUUACCACUCACCUCACAUGGAUUGUGACAUCCCAGAGACGACAGCUCCCAGGGAGAGGACAAGCAUCCCGAACUUCGCUUUCCCAUGGGGCGCUGCAGACACCACCUCAUCGGCCAGGGGUCCCCCUGGGCCCUCUGCAAAGCUCCCUUUGCUUCUGCUUGUGGGGUUUUGGGUCCCCUGGCUUUUUCCAGCCACUCUGGAAAGUCUUCCCACCAGGUGCCAGUUGGAAGUGGAGACCUCAGCACACACCUGGAGCGAUGUACUGAAGACUGAGCUGGUCCAGGCCACUCCAAGUUUCCCACGUUUCUCCUCUGUAAUGGAACCUGACUCUGUGUUUCGAUGUUUGAUUGCUGACACAUCUGAGGCUUCUACUCUCCCUCUUCCCCUGGUGCCCCACAUCCAGGCAAGCUGGAAAGCUCAGCUGCUCCCAGCUUUGGCACGGCGGCAGUUUCAAACCAUGCCAGCCCCUUCCUGGGGACAGUAGCUCCUACCUGGGCCCACCCACAGCCACAACACAAACCCCAAGCCGGUCUCCUUUCCUUGCUCUCUCAGCCAUUUCCAAACCCGCUUGGGAAGCUCUCCUGUUCUUCCCUGAAUGCCUCAUCAUGAAAGUAACUAAUCUUUCACACCCUCUUGGUGUGCGGCCACCGCACCCUCCCUGGUACGUCCAGGCCUGAGGCCCUAUUCUUAUAAUCCAUGACUGAAGUCUGUUCCUAUAACCCAUCCCUGACCUAAGAUUUCAUACUUUUUAACCAGUAAUGCAGUAGGUCUAAUCUCUUUUCAACUUAUUUUUUUAAAAUAAAAUGUUCUUACAUCUCAGGUAGAAAACAAAACAAAUCACAUUUCCGUUGCUACAGUAACACUCUGAAGUCAGUGAGGAAUCAAUUAUACGCAUCACAGUAUUUCACAUUUCUUUCCCAGCAGUUUGUUCCUCCCAACCCCACUCCACCAUUUUUAUUUAUUUAUUUAAAGAUUGGCACCUGAGCUAACACCUGCUGCCCAUCUUUUUUCUUUUUCUUUUUCUUCUCCCCAAAUCCCCCCAGCACAUAGUUGUAUAAUCUAGUUGUGAGUCCUUCUGGUUCUGCUAUGUGGGACGCCACCUCAGCAUGGCCUGAUGAGCGGUGCCAUGUCUGUGCCCAGGAUCCAAACCAGCAACACCCCAGGCCGCUGAAGCAGAGUGCACGAUCUUAACCACUCGGCCACGGGGGCGGCACACCACCAUUUUUAAAUAAAAGAACAUGGCUACUAAUUAACCCAUGUUAGAAGAUUUGCAGUGGUUCUCAAAUGCAAGCUAGUUUGUCCCUUAGGUAGGGUGACCAGUGGUCUUAGUGUGCCCAGGACUUUCCUGAUUUUAGCUCUGAAAGUCUGUAUCCUGGAAACCCCCCAGUCCCAGGUAAGUUGGGACAGUUGGUCACCCUACCCCCAGGGGAUCUUGGUAAGGUCUGGAGACAUUUUUGGUUGUUACGACUGUGUGUGUGUGUGUUCUACUGUAUCUAGUGAGUAGAGGCCACAGACGCUGCUAACCAUCUUACAACAUGUGGACAGUUCACCACAACAAAGGAUAUCCAAAAUGUCAACAGUGCUAAGGUUGAGAAACUGCUGUAGCACUGUGCUCUUCAAAGUGUGGUCUUUGGAUUAGCAGCUUGGAUACCAAGGAGAGUCUGCAUGUUAGAAAUGCAGCAACUCUGGGCCCAUCCCAGAGCCAGUGGGCCGGGGUCAGCCAGCCAUUUAACAAGCCCCCUGGGUGAUUUGCGUACACAUUGAAGCUGGAGAAGUGCUGCUCCAGUAUUUACGGUUUAUUCUUUCUGAGUGUCAGCAUGACACAGGCUCAGACAGUUCUGAUUAAUUAUAUUCACUGAUUUUUAUUGAGCUCCAGUGUCACCAUGGGGUCACCAGUAGCCUCUCUUUCCAGGGUGCCUUCUCACCCAGGGGCCUCUGAAAGCAUUGUUGACCUGUGACACGAUGUCUCAGAUUCAUCUUCUGCUCUCCUGCACCUGGAAGGAACCUUCUUUCUAAAGAGAGCUGCUUCCAUUUAGUGGAGAACAAGACUGAGAGACCAAAACCCGGCCGUGGGGUUGUACAUCUGAGCACGGGAUAGAAUAAGACAAUAGCCAAGAAGUUAAACAGACCUUUCCCUCACAGGGUCCUCCAAUGGGAUCCGUACAGUGAGUGGAUAGAAGCCGUGAAAGGAAACCUUAGAAAAAUACAAGUGACUGCAUUUCAGCCUAACACUCUUCUUUCACCCUUCAUCUGCAUGGGCACUAGUGUCAUUUAUCAUGCACAGUUUUAGUUUUGAACUCCACUUUCUCAAAGACCUUUGGACAAUUACGUAAUAACUAUAGCAAUACAGCAGUCCAAAUUUAAAAAGUUAAUAAAGCAUGUAAGCAAAUACAACUGCGUUAAUAUUAAGAGUCAUCAGAGGUGGAGAGUUAUUUCAUGGGAUGGCCUGUGUUUCAAGGGAAGCAGCUAAAAAUGAGGUGGCAAGUAAUGAUCUGGGAGCAGCAGUUGGAGGCCGGAAGAAUUCUGGGCGGGCGAGCUGCUGGGAAGGUAGGGGCUUGGGGAAACACCAGGCUUCCGCAGAGGCAGGAAGUGAAUUCUGCUAACAACCAAUGAGCUUGAAAAAGAACCUUGAGCCUCUGAUGAGACUGUGGCCCCGGCCAGCACCCUGCCUGCGGCCUGUGAGCGCGUGAGCCCGCGAGCAGAGAACCUGGUUGAGUCAUGCCUGGACUUCUGACCUACAGAACAGUAAAUGGGUGCUGUUUUAAGCUACUAGUUUGUGGUAAUUUGUUACACGGCAAUAGAAAACUAAUACAUUCCACCUUCUAUGUUCAAUUGUAGAGCAUAGGAUCCUUAAUCCUUUCUCUGUCCUGCCAUUCCAGAGGAACUGGUUAAAGUGUGUCAGUGACUGCAGGUCAUCACGGCAGGAUUUUCCCCAGGGAUGGGAGGGGUCGUCUGAAAGAGCCAUCACUUGAUUCUGUUCACCUCUGUUAUCAAUCACUACUGCAAAUGAUUUAGGCAUUUUCUUCCAUUUUUUCUAUUUAUCAAAA